UCGUAGUCGAAUCUGUGUCGCGCGCCGCCGGUUCACCGCUCGCGGUGCCUACUGGCGUGUCGCGGGACGUCCUGCCGGUGGAUGCGGUCCCGCUUGCGGGGCGGUCCAGACUAAUCCCAUCGCGAUGCUCUUCACCGGGUGUCGUUGUGGGCCGGCACGUUUACUUUGAACAAAUUAGAGUGCUCAAAGCAGGCCGAUUUCGCCUGAAUACUGUGUGCAUGGAAUAAUGGAAUAGGACCUCGGUUCUAUUUUGUUGGUUUUCGGAACCCCGAGGUAAUGAUUAAUAGGAACGGAUGGGGGCAUUCGUAUUGCGACGUUAGAGGUGAAAUUCUUGGAUCGUCGCAAGACGGACAGAAGCGAAAGCAUUUGCCAAAAACGCUUUCAUUGAUCAAGAACGAAAGUUAGAGGUUCGAAGGCGAUCAGAUACCGCCCUAGUUCUAACCAUAAACGAUGCCAGCUAGCGAUCCGCCGAUGUUCCUUAGAUGACUCGGCGGGCAGCUUCCGGGAAACCAAAGCAUUUGGGUUCCGGGGGAAGUAUGGUUGCAAAGCUGAAACUUAAAGGAAUUGACGGAAGGGCACCACCAGGAGUGGAGCCUGCGGCUUAAUUUGACUCAACACGGGAAACCUCACCAGGCCCGGACACCGGAAGGAUUGACAGAUUGAGAGCUCUUUCUUGAUUCGGUGGGUGGUGGUGCAUGGCCGUUCUUAGUUGGUGGAGCGAUUUGUCUGGUUAAUUCCGAUAACGAACGAGACUCUAGCCUACUAAAUAGACGUAUUCCCGACAUCGCAAAGGUUGGACCUCGGUCCGAUUUUUACUGUCGGCGUACAUAUAA
rnacentral:rRNA from 1 species